GGGUUGUGAGGUUAAGCGACUAAGCGUACACGGUGGAUGCCCUGGCAGUCAGAGGCGAUGAAGGGCGUGCUAAUCUGCGAUAAGCGCCGGUAAGGUGAUAUGAACCGUUAUAACCGGCGAUACCCGAAUGGGGAAACCCAGUGUGAUUCGUCACACUAUCAUUAACUGAAUCCAUAGGUUAAUGAGGCGAACCGGGGGAACUGAAACAUCUAAGUACCCCGAGGAAAAGAAAUCAACCGAGAUUCCCCCAGUAGCGGCGAGCGAACGGGGAGGAGCCCAGAGCCUGAAUCAGCAUGUGUGUUAGUGGAAGCGUCUGGAAAGGCGCGCGAUACAGGGUGACAGCCCCGUACACAAAAGCGCAUGUGCUGUGAGCUCGAUGAGUAGGGCGGGACACGUGGUAUCCUGUCUGAAUAUGGGGGGACCAUCCUCCAAGGCUAAAUACUCCUGACUGACCGAUAGUGAACCAGUACCGUGAGGGAAAGGCGAAAAGAACCCCGGCGAGGGGAGUGAAAAAGAACCUGAAACCGUGUACGUACAAGCAGUGGGAGCACAGGUUUACCUGUGUGACUGCGUACCUUUUGUAUAAUGGGUCAGCGACUUAUAUUCUGUAGCAAGGUUAACCGUAUAGGGGAGCCGGAGGGAAACCGAGUCUUAAUCGGGCGUUAAGUUGCAGGGUAUAGACCCGAAACCCGGUGAUCUAGCCAUGGGCAGGUUGAAGGUUGGGUAACACUAACUGGAGGACCGAACCGACUAAUGUUGAAAAAUUAGCGGAUGACCUGUGGCUGGGGGUGAAAGGCCAAUCAAACCGGGAGAUAGCUGGUUCUCCCCGAAAGCUAUUUAGGUAGCGCCUCGUGAAUUCAUCUCCGGGGGUAGAGCACUGUUUCGGCUAGGGGGCCAUCCCGGCUUACCAACCCGAUGCAAACUGCGAAUACCGGAGAAUGUUAUCACGGGAGACACACGGCGGGUGCUAACGUCCGUCGUGAAGAGGGAAACAACCCAGACCGCCAGCUAAGGUCCCAAAGUCAUGGUUAAGUGGGAAACGAUGUGGGAAGGCCCAGACAGCCAGGAUGUUGGCUUAGAAGCAGCCAUCAUUUAAAGAAAGCGUAAUAGCUCACUGGUCGAGUCGGCCUGCGCGGAAGAUGUAACGGGGCUAAACCAUGCACCGAAGCUGCGGCAGCGA
rnacentral:rRNA from 2 species